CAGUCGCCGCGGGAAUACGGAGGGGGCUAGCGUUGUUCGGAAUUACUGGGCGUAAAGCGCACGUAGGCGGCUUGGUAAGUUAGAGGUGAAAGCCUGGAGCUCAACUCCAGAAUUGCCUUUAAGACUGCCGAGCUAGCAGGUGAGAGAGGUAAGUGGAAUUCCGAGUGUAGAGGUGAAAUUCGUAGAUAUUCGGAAGAACACCAGUGGCGAAGGCGGCUUACUGGCUCAUACUGGACGCUGAGGUGCGGAAGCGUGGGGAGCAAACAGGAUUAGAUACCCGAGUAGUCCCUGUCUCUUAUAC
rnacentral:rRNA from 1 species